rnacentral:tRNA from 1 species
ACAUUGGUGGUUCAGUGAUAGAAUUCUCGCCUUCCAUGCAGGAGACCUGGGUUUGAUUCCCGGCCAGUGCA